rnacentral:rRNA from 1 species
GGGGCAGCGGAGUCUUG